GCCGGCUUUCGGGUCGGCUAUGGCGAUAAAUGAGCGGUGUAAUAAACCUAUUGGACCCGGGGGCGGUACCCGGCGCCUCCACCAAAAACCGGCGGUCUUAAAGGCCGGCUUUUGAUGGGGGCGAAACAGGAUCGACAAGGGUGUAAAGAUCGUCUUUUUGCUCGGCAUUGUACCGCCGUUAUCGGGCUAAAAUUGUAGUUGCAAACGACAACUAUGCGGAAGCUCGUCUCGCUGCUUAAUCGCGGUGUGACACUUCAAUCAAAGUCCUAGUGGUUCGCACCUCUAGGCGGGGUCCGAAGGCACCUGGCAACAGAAGCCUUCACC
rnacentral:tmRNA from 2 species